rnacentral:rRNA from 1 species
ACUAGAUGCCAUUUCCAAAGAGUCGUGUUGCUUGAUAGUGCAGCACUAAGUGGGUGGUAAACUCCAUCUAAAACUAAAUAUAACCAUGAGACCGAUAGUAAACAAGUACCGUGAGGGAAAGUUGAAAAGAACUCUGAAUAGAGAGUUAAAUAGUACGUGAAACUGCUUAGAGGUUAAGCCCGAUGAACCUGAAUAUCCAUUAUGGAAAAUUCAUCAUUAUGAUUUUAAUAUUUAUAAUAUUAUAAUAUUGGUGUGCAUUUUUUCCAUAUAAGGACAUUGUAAUCUAUUAACGUUAAACAGAUUUAUCAUAAGGUCAUUAGCGUAAGUUUAUUCAAAUUAUUUUGCUUGCAAUUUAACAUAGAAUAAAUGCUUUUGAUUUGAUAAAGUGUUGAUAGAUUUAUUAUAUAUAGUGCUUGAAUAUAUUUAUAUAUUCUAUAAUAGCGUAAUAAUCAAUGAUUUUUAUGUUCAUUAUAUGCAUUUAUAUGAUUAACAAUGCGAAAGAUUCAGGAUACCUUCGGGACCCGUCUUGAAACACGGACCAAGGAGUCUAACAUAUUUGCAAGUUAUUGGGAAUUAAAAACCUAAUAGCAAAAUUAACAUAACUUAUAUAAUGGGAUUAGUUGUUAGUUCUAUUUACAUAGACUAUUAAUUCAAUCCCGGGGCGUUCUAUACAGUUAUGCAUA